CCUACGGGGUGCAGCAGUGAGGAAUAUUGGUCAAUGGACGAGAGUCUGAACCAGCCAAGUAGCGUGAAGGAUGACUGCCCUAUGGGUUGUAAACUUCUUUUAUAUGGGAAUAAAAUGUUCCACGUGUGGGAUUUUGUAUGUACUAUAUGAAUAAGGCUCGGCUAACUCCGUGCCAGCAGCCGCGGUAAUACGGAGGAUCCGAGCGUUAUCCGGAUUUAUUGGGUUUAAAGGGAGCGUAGAUGGAUUGUUAAGUCAGUUGUGAAAGUUUGCGGCUCAACCGUAAAAUUGCAGUUGAAACUGGCAGUCUUGAGUACAGUAGAGGUGGGCGGAAUUCGUGGUGUAGCGGUGAAAUGCUUAGAUAUCACGAAGAACUCCGAUUGCGAAGGCAGUUCACUAGACUGCAACUGACACUGAGGCUCGAAAGUGUGGGUAUCAAACAGGAUUAGAUACCCGUGUAGUC
rnacentral:rRNA from 1 species